rnacentral:lncRNA from 1 species
UGCUGACACUGUUGACAUGUUCUGGGAUGAAGGUGAGACCUGUGUGGUGGCAGGUGUAGAACCUUGAGUUGUUAUUGCUGUUGUGUGUCUUGUGUCUACUGAGGUAAUUUGAGUAGAGGAUGCUGUUGAUAACAUGUGUGUUGAACUUGGAGCUGAGCUGCUCAUGCUGGGAGCAUGUGAGGUGGUUGUCUCACCAGGAGAGAUUGUUCUUUGGGAACUUGUCUCUGUCUGAAUUUGGUCACGUGAGGAGGCUGAAGGAGUUGAUGUGG